GUGCCAGCCGCCGCGGUAAUACCAGCCCCGCGAGUGGUCGGGACUCUUGCUGGGCCUAAAGCGCCCGUAGCCGGCCCGGUAAGUCCCUCCUUAAAGCCCCGGGCUCAACCCGGGGAGCGGGGGGAUACUGCCGGGCUAGGGGGCGGGAGAGGCCGGGGGUACCCCAGGGGUAGGGGCGAAAUCCGAUAAUCCCUGGGGGACCACCAGUGGCGAAGGCGCCCGGCUGGAACGCGCCCGACGGUGAGGGGCGAAAGCCGGGGGGGCGAACCGGAUUAGAUACCCGGGUAGUCCCGGCUGUAAACUAUGCGGGCCAGGUGUCGGGCGGGCGUUAGAGCCCGCCCGGUGCCGCAGGGAAGCCGUUAAGCCCGCCGCCUGGGGAGUACGGCCGCAAGGCUGAAACUUAAAGGAAUUGGCGGGGGGGCACACAAGGGGUGGAGCCUGCGGCUCAAUUGGAGUCAACGCCGGGAACCUCUACCGGGGGCGACAGCAGGAUGACGGCCAGGCUAACGACCUUGCCCGACGCGCUGAGGGGAGGUGCAUGGCCGUCGCCAGCUCGUGCUGUGAAGUGUCCUGUUAAGUCAGGCAACGAGCGAGACCCCCGCCCCUAGUUGCGACCCUGCGGGCGACCGCGGGGGCACACUAGGGGGACUGCCGCCGCUAAGGCGGAGGAAGGAGGGGGCCACGGCAGGUCAGUAUGCCCCGAAACCCCGGGGCUGCACGCGAGCUGCAAUGGCGGGGACAGCGGGAUCCGACCCCGAAAGGGGAAGGUAACCCCGUAAACCCCGCCCCAGUAGGGAUCGAGGGCUGUAACUCGCCCUCGUGAACGUGGAAUCCCUAGUAACCGCGUGUCACCAACGCGCGGUGAAUACGUCCCUGCCCCUUGCACACACCGCCCGUC
rnacentral:rRNA from 1 species